CCCUUAGAUGUUCUGGGCCGCACGCGCGCUACACUGAUGCAUUCAACGAGCCUAUCCUUGACCGACAGGUCCGGGUAAUCUUUGAAUCUGCAUCGUGACGGGGAUAGAUUAUUGCAAUUAUUAAUCUUCAACGAGGAAUGCCUAGUAGGCGCAAGUCAUCAGCUUGCGUCGAUUACGUCCCUGCCCUUUGUACACACCGCCCGUCGCUCCUACCGAUUGGGUGUGCUGGUGAAAUGUUCGGAUCGGCCGUUUGUCGCGGUUUCCGCGUCAUGUGGCUGAGAAGUUCAUUAAACCCUCCCACCUAGAGGAAGAAGAAGUCGUAACA
rnacentral:rRNA from 1 species